GACGGAGGGGCCGAGCGUUGUCCGGAGUUAUUGGGCGUAAAGCGCGCGCAGGCGGCCUCGCGCGCCCGACGUGAAAGCCCCAGGCUUAACCGGGGAGGGUCGUUGGGGACGGCGGGGCUUGAGGGCGGGAGAGGUCGGUGGAAUUCCCGGUGUAGUGGUGAAAUGCGUAGAGAUCGGGAGGAACACCUGUGGCGAAGGCGGCCGACUGGGCCGACCCUGACGCUGAGGCGCGAAGGCGUGGGGAGCGAACGGG
rnacentral:rRNA from 1 species